rnacentral:snoRNA from 1 species
CCCCUCUCAGGGUCACACCUGGAGAGUUUCCAAUACUCUACCAAUCUCGACUACAGGAGGGAGUCAAGCAGAGGCCACCCAUUCCACUCCUAGCUUGGGCAGUGGCUAGCGAGGGGAAGGCAAUCUGCUACAAAU